rnacentral:lncRNA from 1 species
AGGGAAUAGAACUCCAAGCGAAGACUAGAUCAAAUCGACAUAUAGCGAAUGCGAAACGUUAUCUCGAUUUGAUCUAAAGAGGCUAAUUUGUAGAAAAUAGGUUUAGAAUGAAAUCCGAGCCUCUAGGGUUUCUCAAACAUGUAUUCUUAUGAUGCUUAAACAGUUAGAGAACCCCAAUAGCUUAUUUAUAGACUUUAGAAUCAAAACGGAGUAGGAUUAGAAAGUUUCUUUCUAAAAUCAGCACCUUGUACCGGAACAAGGAAAGCUGUCCAGGGUACAGCAUGACGGAAGAUUUUUCUGCGAAGCUUCUGUACUCUGAACAGACUGCAGCUUGUUCCGGAACAGGGCUUGUACCGGUACGGCCGUGAUGGUUGUACUGGAACAACCAUCAACAAACUCUGCGGCAAAGGUCGAUGUCUGUACCGGAACAGAUAAACCCUUGUACCGGUACAACAAUGUAAUUUUCGCUGAAAAUGCAUUGUUUCGAGUUUUACAAGCUCUUAGAAACUUUCUAAUCAAUUACAACUUGAAAACAUGAUUCUAAAAUCUAUAAUUAAGUAUGAAUCACCAUAAACAAGAUUUAAAGCUUACCUAAGCAUCGUGAUUCAUGUUUUGCGUGUUUUGCGUCCUUUCCGAUUCUUCGAAGUCUUGGAUUCUUCGAUCUUCAAUACUCCGCUCCGGACUUCUUCAAGGCUCCAACUCGACCCACGAAACUUGCCAACACAUAGCUAACAAUCUCCCCCUUUGGCAAUUUCGUGACAAAACACACACAAACUCAACAAUUACAUUGUAAAGAAAAACGAAGUUCAAUUGUCAUCACCAAAACAUUGAACUCCUCGCGUGUAAUCCAAAUACAAUUUGAAACUCAAAAUACAUUUCAAAACUCCUAAAACAGACUCUAUGACUUAGACGCAACUAGGAGUUUUGAAGUCUUGAAAUCUUGCAAAACAAUUCACUUAAAAAUGAUUAGCCUUAAAUUCUUAUACCUUCUCUGUCUUUGUUCACAUCUCCCCCUUUGGUCUUGAACUUAUCAUCCUCAGCUUAGUUCAAUGCCUGUUUAUCCAUGCUCUUCCCCUUCAUCUACGCUCUCUCCCUUUUUGUCAAAAAUUGCCAAAAGAAAGCAAAUAGAGAGAGAAAACAUACUAGAAAAGCAUAAGCGUAGUCAAUUCAUAGUUAAAGGCCUAAAAGAAAAAAAAGCAAGCAGAGCUAAAACUAAAACAUCAUCCUAAACAGCAAAUGCAGUGAAAGAGAAAGACUAAGCUUGACGAAGAAAUCACUCCGUGUCCUCGUCAUCAUCAUCAUCAUCUCCAACACCAGCUCCAGAACCCCCAGCCUCAGGAGCAUCACCAGACGGUGGAAUGAGAGGAUGUCGUGAAGAUGACUGCUGAUACGAAGCAAAAGAUGGAGUAGGUUCCCAAAUAUCAUCAUGUGGAUACCCCAUCUUAUCCAUUAAUCUUUUGAUACUUAAUUCAAACUUUUUGAUGCUGGACUCAACUUUCCUUCCAAUGUUGUUCACCUUCUUCUUUAAUUUUCGCAAAUCAUCCUUAACUGAUUCCAAUGUCGUCGCUCCCCCCGAACUAGAUGAAGUAUCAUAACUCCCUCGGGAUGGAGGCGGAGGAGCAGAGCUAGAAGCUGCUCUCGGUGGAGGUGCUGGGCUAGAUGCUUCAGGAGGUGGCCCUUUGGUCUGAUGGAAUGAUCUGAGAGUGCUAACAGACUUAGCCCAAGUCACUGAGUCAAUAGGCCCAAGGCCAACAUCAUACUUGUCACAAGAUGUAUCUACUCCAUUUGCUUGAAGAAUCCUCGUAAUCAUAACAGGGAAUGGAAGUAGAUCCCGUCGAGUGGCACCCUGAAUCACGUGUAUCAUCUUUUGCCAGAUCAGAAAUGGAAUGUUGAUGUUCAAUCUAUGAGCCUGCUCGGGAUGACCAAGUAGAUAUAGCAACACUAAUCUCUCGCAACGGAUCCUCUUUGUGCCAAUAGUGGGUUGAACAUUAUAGUUCAUAACCAAGGAUAGCAAGUGAUACUCAGGUAAUAAAUCCUCGGAUUCAAUGUAACCAUGAGUCAUGUAAACACCGCCUUUGCAUAUAGCUCCAAGAAUGAUAUCCAUGUGAGUUGACGCUUGGAAUCCUCCUGACGUAUAGAGAAGACCUGUAGUGUUCACAUGCAUUCCCAAGAUCUCUCCAAUAUCAUAGGGGGUAACUGGGAAUCUCUUCUUUCGCACAAUAGUCUCAAAAAUAAAAGUGCCUGUUUCAUCAUCUUCAGCAAGUACCUUUCCAUUCAUAUAGAACUCCCGAAUGAGUUUUACACAGAAAGGAGCCUUGGCCGGGACCCGUCCAACUGGUUCAAUAGGUGCACGCUGUAGCAGUCGACCAAAAUCAGGAACAUCCCGAACCAGGUCAUUAAAGUUCACAAAGCGUUCCGGUAUGCACGACUUCGACGCAAACAACCUUUGCCGUGCUAGAGGGACAUCCGCAGCUUGUUUUGUACGUUCCUCACGAGUACGAGAACCACCGCCAUGAGAUGAUCCGCCAGCUAUUCCUUUGCCUUUGUCAAGUCGAGCAAUAGGUUCUUCAGGUUCUUCCGGGGAGCUCGCCUGAUAAUCCGGAUCAGACCCGGACGCUUCUUCAGUUGUGCGUGUCCUUUUAGAAACCCCAUGACGACCUCUACCACCACCACGGCUCCGUCUCCCAGCCAUUAACACCAACAACACCAAUACGAGCAAAAACGCCAUUUUCCUAUAUCAAAAAAUUGCAUACAUGAACAAAAUUUUUGAAAAAAUCUGUAAAAAUAGCAAAAAAAAACCUCUAAUAACAUUAGAAUGCAUACAAAUGCUAUUUCUAACCAGAUCAUGAAAAAAAUUUCAGCAAAAAUCGAACUUUUUGAAAAAUUUCGAAAUUACAUGCAUAUUAGAGCAUAAAUCUUAGAUCAGUGAAAAAUAAUUUGUUUUGAUGUUGUUCAAGUGUUCUACAAGCAAGGUAAUAGCCUAAGACACUGAUCUAUAGCAAAAAAUUGCAUCAAAAAUGAAUUAGCACAGAGAUCAAACCCUUAUCCCGCAAAAACAGUGAAAAUAUCAAAAUCGGGAUAAAACUCACAAAUUUGAUGUUAAAAACUUACAAAUCCAAGGGGAGAACGUGCAAAUCGGUUGAAGAAGAGUAGCUGGAGCUCCCAGGAACAAAAAUUUUGGAAAAAGAUUGAAAUUUGAGAGAGAUCGAAGCGUUAUACCCGUAUAUAAGCCGCUCGGCCGCAGACCUUGUACCGGAACACGGUUUCUUGUACCGGUAUAAGGACCAAAAUGUGAAAAAAAAAAUUUUCGAAAAAUAUCCUUUAAAAACCCAUCAAAUUUAAAUUAAAUUCAUAUAAUUAAGACUUUUACUCCAAAAAUCAUUAUAAUGAAAAUAAGAUAUUAUAAAAUUUCAAAACACAUCGAAACAUCAAAAUUUCAAUAUAAAAAAAUUAUUUAAUGAUUCAAGGAACCAUCAAGAUGUAAGUUGAUGAAAAAUGAUUUUUAGAAAUUCAACAAAUUGACACCAAUUUAUCGUAACACAUUCAAAAUAGAGAUUUAACUAAUAUGGCACCGGGGGUGGCUCUUUGACAUCUUUUCAACUUACCACCUAUAACUCCAAAAAUUUUAAAUAUUUAUAACUUUUUCCAAACCUUUGGCUUUUCAAUUAAUUUCCAUGUGGUAGCUUCACACACUUGCGGACGACCGAGUGGUAGCUCUUUCCUACAUGUGGUGGUAGUUUUCACACUCCUUUUAGGAUGUAACUCUUCCACAUCUUUUAAACAUAGGAGUUUCUUUUUCUCCUUUUUUUUUAAAAUUUUUAAACAAUUUCAAACCCCCCUAAAUUAGACAAUCUCACAGUUGAAAAUAUUUUGACGAAUUUUAGUCAAAUAGAGAAUAUCCAUUCAUCAUAUCACCAAACACUCACAACCAAGAUGAAUUAAUCACAAAAAAAAAAUCAAAUUUGAUUUCAAAUUUUGAUGAAUAUAUGCAUUAAGAAAUCAUAUAUUAAAUUAUCAUCAAAAUAAUAAAGAAGUGGAGUAAACCGAUAAUUAAUAUGAAUUUAACUUAAUUAUCAUUGUGAAGAUAAACACGUUCAAACACCUUUUUUUUUAAAAAAAAAUUUCUCUCUCCAAAUUAUGGAUCGCUCAAUCAUCUCUUUUCUCAAAAAUUUUUGAAUUCUUAAAUACCUUCGCCAAUAAAUAAUUUUUAAAUAAACAAAAAUUCAAUGCACCAAAAAUCAUUCAAACAUGUAAUGCAAUGAAUAAAAUUAUGCAACAAGCACCAAUCAAAGCAUUACACUAAAGAUCAAAAUGACUAAGACGAGGAGCAAGGAAAGAUAUCACCUUUCCGUAUCCAAACUUGUCGGAUCUUUGGUUUUCUCGGCUUGUCGAUGUUUGGUGCCGUUUGUUUAGAUAUUUGAUCAACCGUUAGUGGUUUCUUCGGUUGAGGCUUCGGUUGAAUUUGUCGUUGAGGCUUAUGCACUUGUUUUGCAUGAACUUGGCGUUGUGCAUUAGAAAUCCGGUUCUUUUGAGGUACUCGACUAACUUGAUUUUUCUUUUGAUUCCGCGGGGGAAGUCGAGUUGUAGAUGAUGUCGUUUGAGGUUUAGAUAUUGCCAAUUAAUUCUUCUUUUCCUUAUUUGGGCAAUUCCUUUUAAUGUGUCCUUUCUUGCCACAUUUAUGACACACCUCUUUCGAAGUUGUUGAGACUUUAGAAGUUGAUAUUGAAUCCUUCUCAACGUAUGUGCGUUCAUAUCCGAGUCCAAGCUUGUUCGUUUGACCCAAUCCGAGCAUAUGAUCUAGUUUCUUUGAUCCGGAAGAAAAUCGUUGAAUGUCGGAUUGAAGUUGACGAACUUGAUUGGUCAAAGACUUGUUGGAUGUGUACGAUUCCUCGAAUUGUCGCUCCAAAAAUUCAACCUUGUCUUUAUAUGAUUUGAUCGUUAAUUCCGCUUCAUUAAGCUUCUCUUGGAGGUCCGAAUUAUUCUUCAAGCUUGAAUCCCUUUCCUCCUCAAGAGCCUUAUUCAAAGUCUUUGCGUUGUUGUUUUCCUCCUCAAGAUCCAACAAACGACGUCUCAAUUUCUUAUUCAACUUAGCCAUCUUCUUUGAUUCAAUGAGAAGUUGAUUGUACGCUUCCGCUGUGUCGUCGUCGUUUGAUUCCUCCUCACUUUCGCCAUUGUUGCUCGAAGAGUCAUGUGAAGAAAGAGAAAUAUUAGAAUUAGUAGCAAUAGAGGAUAAACAUAUAACGUUAGACGAAGGUAAGGUAGAUGUAGCAAAUAGGGCAAGGUUUCCAUUCUUUUCUUCGUCACUCAAGCUUGAAUCACUCGAAGUUGUAUCAUCCCACGUCUUUGCUUGCAUUGCUUUCUUAGUAUAUGAUUUCUUUGAGGGACAAUCCGUAGCUAUGUGACCGUAGCCUUUGCACUUGAAACAUCGGAUUUCGCCUUCAAAUUCAUCCUUUUCUUUUGAAGCCUUUGCACGCUUCUUCUCUUUAGAUGUAGAAGAUUUAGAAAAAGAUUGUCGCUUAGAUGAUGAAGCCUUGUCCGAGUUGUUCUUCUUUCGGAAAUUCCGACGAAAAUUCUUCGUUAGAAGUGCAAGUUGAUGUUCGAAGUCGGCAAGAGAAACAUCUCCGUCGGAAUCCGAGUCUCCGUCUUCCUCUUUUGUCGAUUUCAACGCAACCCCUGUACUUUUAGAGAAAGACUUGGAAGAAGAUAGAUUAGUAGGAAACGUCAUCUCAUACGUUUGUAAAGCGCCUACUAAUUCUUCGAUUUUCAUCUUGUCCGGAUGCUUAACCGUUUCGAUCGCGGCAACUUUUGCCCGAAAGCGUUCAGGAAGAGUUCGAAGAAUUUUCCUAAUAACCUUUGAAUUCGGGAUUUUCUCUCCCAAGUUAGCACAUGUAUUCACAACGUCUUGUAGACGCGUAUAGUACUCGGUAAAGGUCUCAUUUUCGUCCAUAGAAAUUGAAUCAAACUUGCUAGUUAGCAUUUGCAAUUUUUGGACCUUUACUAAGCUUGUUCCUUCAUGCGUAACUUGUAGAGUACCCCAAAUUUCCUUUGCUGUUUCGCAUGCCGAAACCCGAGUAAACUCCGUUUGCGAUAAAGCGUUGAAUAAAGCAUUAAUUCCUUUACCGUUAAACGAAGAUGACUCGUUUUCAUCUUUUGUUCAUUUGUUCCGUGGUUUAGGAACGGUAGUGUUAUUGACAACAUCGGUAGGGUGCUCCCAACCAAAUUCAAUAGCUUUCCAAACACGCUUAUCGAUUGCAAUUAGAAAAGCUCUCAUGCGAACUUUCCAAUAGGCAUAAUUCGUGCCAUCGAAGAGUGGUGGUCGAUUAACGUUACCGCCUUCGGCCAUUAGAAAAUAAUUUAUCUAGAUCCCGCUCUGAUACUAAUUAAAAGUUUUGAGGAGCUCAAGAAUCUAUCUAGAUUGUAUCUAUCACCUAGAGGGGGGGUGAAUAGGUGAAAUAGCCAAAAAUCACAAAUCUCAAUGCGAUAAAAAUAAAUGCGGAAAAUAAAAAUCACACCGAGAUUUACGUGGGAAAACUCCAAUUUGGAGAAAAACCCACGAGAGCAACACGCGAAAAAACAAUCCACUAAAAGAAAAGAUUACAAGGUGAUUACCGACUCCACAGACUCAACCGCUCUUAACCUCCUAUGGAUCUCGUGCAAUCCUCCGGGUUGUCCACGCCCUCACGUUCGAAUCCACGAACGCCUCCACUUCGAAUCCACGAAGAUUCAAUCACGCCGAAUCCACGAUGCCACUCGAAUCCACGAGCCCACGAUCCGAAUCCACGAAUCGCCUUCGUUCACGCCGAAUCCACGACGCCGUUCAUGAAGAGCAUCAUGAUUAUGGUGAUCCUUCGCUUAGGAGUAUCGUAGAAAACCAGGGAAUAGAAUUCCAAGCGAAGACUAGAUCAAAUCGACAUAUAGCGAAUGCGAAACGUUAUCUCGAUUUGAUCUAAAGAGGCUAAUUUGUAGAAAAUAGGUUUAGAAUGAAAUCCGAGCCUCUAGGGUUUCUCAAACAUGUAUUCUUAUGAUGCUUAAUCAGUUAGAGAACCCCUAUAGCUUAUUUAUAGACUUUAGAAUCAAAACGGAGUAGGAUUAGAAAGUUUCUUUCCAAAAUCAGCACCUUGUACCGGAACAAGGAAAGCUGUCCAGGGUACAGCAUGACGGAAGAUUUUUCUGCGAAGUUUCUGUACUCUGAACAGACUGCAGCUUGUUCCGGAACAGGGCUUGUACCGGUACGGCCAUGAUGGUUGUACCGGAACAACCAUCAACAAACUCUGCGGCAAAGGCCGAUGUCUGUACCGGAACAGAUAAACCCUUGUACCGGUACAACUAUACAAUUUUCGCUGAAAAUGCAUUGUUUCGAGUUUUACAAGCUCUUAGAAACUUUCUAAUCAAUUACAACUUGAAAACAUGAUUCUAAAAUCUAUAAUUAAGUAUGAAUCACCAUAAACAAGAUUUAAAGCUUACCUAAGCAUCGUGAUUCAUGUUUUGUGUGUUUUGCGUCCUUUCUGAUUCUUCAAAGUCUUGGAUUCUUCGAUCUUCAAUAUUCUGC